CCGGAACAUGUUCAAAUUGCUCAAAUUAAGCCCUGUUUAUAUCCCUCCUACCUGUCUCUUAGGAGGUGUUGAGCCCAUUGCAGAGGUGGCUGGUGACGGGGAGGAGCUGGAACUUCCACCGGAAGUGACCAAGUUCAUCAGGAAGAAACAUGCAUCUAAGAAAGUCAAGAAAGAAAGUAAUGGAGGUGAAAGCAAUGGAAACACCACAUUCAUUAGUAUUUAGAGAUGAUGCAGACAUCCAGUGUGAUGAAGAAAACUUGUCGCAUGAUGCUGAAG
rnacentral:lncRNA from 1 species